UGAGGAAUAUUGGUCAAUGGGCGCAAGCCUGAACCAGCCAUCCCGCGUGCAGGAAGACGGCGCUAUGCGUUGCAAACUGCUUUUCCAGGGGGAGAAACUUGCGCACGUGUUGCGCAAUUGACGGUACCCUGGGAAUAAGCAUCGGCUAACUCCGUGCCAGCAGCCGCGGUAAUACGGAGGAUGCGAGCGUUAUCCGGAUUCAUUGGGUUUAAAGGGUGCGUAGGCGGACUAUUAAGUCAGUGGUGAAUCCUGCAGCUUAACUGCAGAACUGCCAUUGAUACUGAUAGCCUUGAGUUUGGUUAAGGUAGGCGGAAUGUGUAAUGUAGCGGUGAAAUGCUUAGAUAUUACACAGAACACCAAUUGCGUAGGCAGCUUACUGAGCCGACACUGACGCUGAGGCACGAAAGCGUGGGGAUCGAACAG
rnacentral:rRNA from 1 species